AUUGAACGCUGGCGGCAUGCUUUACACAUGCAAGUCGAGCGGCUGCAGGGAGAUUGCUCCCUCAUUCUGCUGCCGACUGGCGAAUAAUGCCUAGAAAUCUGCCUAGUUGUGGAGUAUAACGUGAGAAAAACGCCACUAAUUGGGUAAACGUCCUGAGGGAGUACGUGGGGGAUCGUCGGAUCUCACGCUCUCUCACUAUUCUAGGGCGGGUUAGCUAGUUGGUGGGGUAAAGGCCUACCAAGGCGACGAUCCGUAACUGGUCUGAGAGGAUGAGCAGCCACACUGGAACUGAGACACGGUCCAGACUCCUACGGGAGGCAGCAGUGGGGAAUUUUGGACAAUGGGCGAAACCCUGAUCCAGCCAUGCCGCGUGUGUGAAGAAGGUCUUCGGAUUGUAAAGCACUUUUAGUUGGGAGGAAGGGCAGUAAGUUAAUACCUUGCUGUUUUGACGUUACCAACAGAAUAAGCACCGGCUAACUACGUG
rnacentral:rRNA from 1 species